rnacentral:rRNA from 1 species
CGAGUCGUAUGUCCCUGGACUGCCAGGGGCAUGGCGAACGGCUCAGUAACACGUGGCUAACCUACCCUCAGGACGGGGAUAACUCCGGGAAACUGGAGCUAAUCCCCGAUAGGUGGUAGGGCCUGGAAGGGUCUACCACCUAAAGGGCCCUAUGGGGAUGUCCGUAGGGUUGCCUGAGGAUGGGGCCACGGCCCAUCAUGGUUGUUGGCGGGGUAACGGCCCGCCAAGCCGAUAACGGGUAGGGGCCGUGAGAGCGGGAGCCCCCAGAUGGGCACUGAGACAAGGGCCCAGGCCCUACGGGGCGCACCAGGCGCGAAAACUCCGCAAUGCGGGAAACCGUGACGGGGCCACCCCGAGUGUCCCGAAGAGGGACUUUUCCCCACUGUAAGUAGGUGGGGGAAUAAGCAGGGGGUAAGUCUGGUGUCAGCCGCCGCGGUAAUACCAGCCCUGCGAGUGGUCGGGACGCUUAUUGGGCCUAAAGCGUCCGUAGUCGGCCCGGUAAGUCCUCCCUCAAAGCCUCGGGCUCAACCUGAGGAAGGGGAGGAUACUGCCGGGCUAGGGGGCGGGAGAGGCCGGGGGUACUCCUGGGGUAGGGGCGAAAUCCGUUAAUCCCAGGAGGACCACCAGUGGCGAAGGCGCCCGGCUGGAACGCGCCCGACGAUGAGGGACGAAAGCCGGGGGAGCGAACCGGAUUAGAUACCCGGGUAGUCCCGGCUGUAAACGAUGCGGGCUAGG